GUAGGUGGCAAGCGUUGUCCGGAAUUAUUGGGCGUAAAGCGCGCGCAGGCGGUUCUUUAAGUCUGAUGUGAAAGCCCACGGCUCAACCGUGGAGGGUCAUUGGAAACUGGAGAACUUGAGUACAGAAGAGGAAAGCGGAAUUCCACGUGUAGCGGUGAAAUGCGUAGAGAUGUGGAGGAACACCAGUGGCGAAGGCGGCUUUCUGGUCUGUAACUGACGCUGAGGCGCGAAAGCGUGGGGAGCAAACAGGAUUAGAUACCCUGGUAGUCCACGCCGUAAACGAUGAGUGCUAAGUGUAGGGGGUUUCCGCCCCCUUAGUGCUGCAGCUAACGCAUUAAGCACUCCGGCCUGGGAUACGGCCGCAAGGCUG
rnacentral:rRNA from 1 species